GAAAUAUAACAAGCAGGUGGCCGCCGAAACAAUCAAGAAAAGCCCGACCUUGCGGAGAAACCCGCCCGAUCUUUUCUCCUCGCUUGAAUUCUCCGGAACUCCCAAGAAUCCCGCCGCGUCGAGACCGGACGAGGACGAUGGCCUGCAAACCCAUCGCCAACAGGCUCGGGAAGGAGGCGGGCCUCCACCCCGAGGUUCCGCCGCUUCAUCGUUACCCUCGAUCAGGUAAAAAGCUGAGCUUCCCCGUGUUACCGUCGGAAAAGUAUUGCUGGUGUAGGAGAUGAGCAUGCAGGUCUUCCCGACUGCCCCGUCGCCGACCGUCACGCAUUUGAUGAACCUUGGCGUGCUCAUCGUUGUAAUGGCACUGGCAUGUAGGAAUCCUUGCCUUGCUCGUGGGUGGGGCUUUACAAUGGUUAUUGGAGGCAACCAGGUGAAAAGGCCCAGCCUCUCGACGAACAUGUGAACGGGUCGGAUCGAAGCCAUCACGGCCCGAUGCGGUAAUGGGACGCCUCACCAAAGUCCUCGUAGAUAAAUGGAGGGUAGGAUACCUGUUUUGUCCCUAUAAGAAUCCCCUUAUGAUUCAUCUCCGGCCGCCGAGAGGCCUCCGACGUCUCGGAGAUCGAGAAGCGCUACGAUCUUGGAGGGGCCUCAAGGACAAGGCGCAGGCAGCAUGCGGUAAGCCUACGAAGGUGCAAACGGAGAGCAAGUCACGCCGUGGUUUUUGAAAUUAUUGUCGACCCUCGCCAGCAAGUCCACGACGGCCUGGUUCGAUUUCAUCGAAGAAGACGAGGCUGGAGUCGGUCCCUCGCCCUUUUUCGUUUUGUUUCUGCUUCUCUUGCUUCUUCUUGGCAAUGGAAUCUGCUCACCCCAUCGUCGUUAGGGAUUGAAGGUAUGAGACAGUGGUUCCUACAUCAUGUGAUUAGUGAUAAUUUUGCUUCCUUAUGUGCCCAAAGAAGUCACUGGAAAACCUUUCCCCACCUUCUCCUCCCCUCUUUUUUUUUUUUUUGUUUGUUUGUUUCCGAGUCAGAAGGUUUUGAGGGUUUAUUCUCUUUGGUAUUUGUUAAAUAUAAAAGUAGAGGGUGUUGUUGGUACGGCAUUUCUAUGCAAAGAAACAAACAUGUGAGAUCAAUAUAUGCCAAGUGUUGUCCAUUUUUUUCUAUUUUGAAUACAGCUUGACAU